CAGCAGACUGAAAACAGGAGAAAAACAUUGGAUAGAUUGUAGCCGUAUUAUGAAGAUUAGAGUUGAGAACUUUGGAGAAUGAGUUCUGGACAAAUUGGACAGUUCGGAAAAAGGCAUACUGGAAGAGAGAAGCGCAAGUGAAUGUAAAGACUAAAACUAUAUUCUUGAUUGGAAGGUUUAGAAGCCAGUAAAGGGCUUUGUGGAAUGGAUAAGCAGG